rnacentral:rRNA from 1 species
AUUGAACGCUGGCGGCAGGCCUAACACAUGCAAGACGAACGAGUGGCGGACGGGUGAGUAAUGUCUGGGAAACUGCCUCAUAGCGGGGGAUAACUAUUGGAAACGGGCGCUAAUACCGCAUACUAUCAGAUGUGCCCAGAUGGGAUUAGCUUGUUGGUGGGGUAACGGCUCACCAAGGCGACGAUCCGUAACUGGGCUGAGAGGAUGAUCAGUUAGACUGGAACGGAGACACGGUUCAGACUCCGACGGGAGGCAGAAGUGGGGAAUAUUGCACAAUGUGCGCAAGCCUGAUUCAGCCAUGCGGCGUGUAGGAAGAAGGCCUUCGGGUUGUAAAGUACUUUCAGCGGGGAGGCGUUACCCGCAGAAGAAGCACCGGCUAACUCCGUGACAGCAGCCGCGGUAAUUC